UACGAAGGGGGCUAGCGUUGCUCGGAAUCACUGGGCGUAAAGGGUGCGUAGGCGGGUCUUUAAGUCAGAGGUGAAAUCCUGGAGCUCAACUCCAGAACUGCCUUUGAUACUGAGGAUCUUGAGUUCGGGAGAGGUGAGUGGAACUGCGAGUGUAGAGGUGAAAUUCGUAGAUAUUCGCAAGAACACCGGUGGCGAAGGCGGCCUGCUGGGACAUUGCUGACGCUGAGGCGCGACAGCGUGGGGGAGCAAACAGG
rnacentral:rRNA from 1 species